UACGGAGGGUGCAAGCGUUAUCCGGAUUCACUGGGUUUAAAGGGUGCGUAGGUGGGUAGGUAAGUCAGUGGUGAAAUCCCCGAGCUUAACUCGGGAACUGCCGUUGAUACUAUCUAUCUUGAAUAUCGUGGAGGUAAGCGGAAUAUGUCAUGUAGCGGUGAAAUGCUUAGAUAUGACAUAGAACACCCAUUGCGAAGGCAGCUUACUACACGAUCAUUGACACUGAGGCACGAAAGCGUGGGGAGCAAACAGG
rnacentral:rRNA from 1 species